rnacentral:rRNA from 1 species
GAUCCUACAGGACGCAGCAGUGAGGAAUAUUGGUCAAUGGCCGAGAGGCUGAACCAGCCAAGUCGCGUGAGGGAUGACGGCCCUACGGGUUGUAAACCUCUUUUGUCGGGGAGCAAAGAGAGUCACGUGUGGCUCAUUGAGAGUACCCGAAGAAAAAGCAUCGGCUAACUCCGUGCCAGCAGCCGCGGUAAUACGGAGGAUGCGAGCGUUAUCCGGAUUUAUUGGGUUUAAAGGGAGCGUAGGCCGGUCUUUAAGCGUGCCGUGAAAUUUUGUGGCUCAACCAUGAGAGUGCGGCGCGAACUGGG